CUCAGUCAAAGAUACAUACCUCCAGCAG
rnacentral:piRNA from 1 species